rnacentral:rRNA from 1 species
GACGAACGCUGGCGGCGUGCUUAACACAUGCAAGUCGAACGGAAAGGCCCUGCUUUUGUGGGGUGCUCGAGUGGCGAACGGGUGAGUAACACGUGAGUAACCUGCCCUUGACUUUGGGAUAACUUCAGGAAACUGGGGCUCAUACCGGAUAGGAGCUCCUGCUGCAUGGUGGGGGUUGGAAAGUUUCGGCGGUUGGGGAUGGACUCGCGGCUUAUCAGCUUGUUGGUGGGGUAGUGGCUUACCAAGGCUUUGACGGGUAGCCGGCCUGAGAGGGUGACCGGCCACAUUGGGACUGAGAUACGGCCCAGACUCCUACGGGAGGCAGCAGUGGGGAAUAUUGCACAAUGGGCGGAAGCCUGAUGCAGCAACGCCGCGUGCGGGAUGACGGCCGUCGGGUUGUAAACCGCUUUCGCCUGUGACGAAGCGUGAGUGACGGUAAUGGGUAAAGAAGCACCGGCUAACUACGUG